GUGCUCACUUCAGCAGUACAUACACUAAAAUUGGAAUGAUACAGAGCAGAUUAGCAUGGCCCCUGCACAAGGAUGACAUGCAAAUUUUUGAAGCAUACCAUGAAAAC
ensembl:snRNA U6 U6 spliceosomal RNA